AAUGGAGUCAUCACUUCUGGGAUUGAUUCUUCUUUAUUCUUCCUAAAAGCUUCAUAUUUAUAGAAUUAGAAAGAAAUGGAAAAUGUUCCCUAACACACAUUUUCACCACAAACUGAUCCAUCAGGUUUCCUGCUUCGUUUCCCUGACAACAGUGACGUUACGGCCGUUCCUGUUCCUCAAAUUAGUUCUGCUUUUACCGUCUUCAUGUUGCAGCUUCUUUUCUCCGUCUGAAGGGUGAAAGAUGAUGACGCCUCAAGAAGUCCUUCUGAGGACUUUGAAAGAUUUGGGAGAUGAGGAGUUUGAAAACUUCAAAUGGUUCUUGUACCAGGAAGGAGUCCUUGGAGACUUCAAAUCAAUCUCAAAGUCUCACUUGGAGAAGGCAAACAGGUUCAACACCGUGGAUCAAAUGGUCCAGACCUAUGGUACUACAAAUGCCAUUAAAGUCACUGAGAAGGUUUUAAUGAAGAUGGAUAAAACUGAACUGGUGAGGAAAAUCUCAAGAACCAUCAAAGAACCGACAGGAUCUUCUCAUUUGUGUAAUUUCUUGUUUUUGAUUCAGAGAUUCUGUCCGGGUGUCAAGACAAACUAAAGUCUAACCUAAAGAAGAGGUUCCAGUGUGUGUUUGAGGGCAUCGCUAAAGCAGGAC